GCCUUCGUGGUGUAGUGGUCUAAACGCUCGACGCGUAACCGAGAGGUCCGUGGUUCGAUUCCCGGGGAAGGCG
rnacentral:tRNA from 1 species